UUCGGUGCCAUCAAACCAGAGCCACACCCCUAUUUCAUCUCCCAACUGCUUCCGGACGGCGGCGGCGGCGCUCCAGCUCCGGCGUCACAGCAGCGGCAUGAGAUCGACGGCGACCAUGGUGGCGACUGCGACGACCCCGUCGCGGACGUUAUUCUCCCCCAUCGUUAGACUUAGGGUUUCAGAUAUUUGAUCCAUCCAUGAUUAUGCGACAAUGGCGAGAUGAGAGAGCCGUUUGUUCGUCACGACAGAAGCUCGACCGAGCUGGUACAGAAGGGAGCCGGGUUGGGAACAAGAAGCUCCCACGCCAUCACCCUCAUCAGCAGCAUGGCCUACUCCUUCGGCUGUGAAUAUGCCUUCAACCUCAAGGCGCAAUCCUGGUAUGCUCUCGACUUGGCCGGCUAGGUGCCCCUGCCUCUCGUCGGUGGCACGGAGUUUGUGUCUGGCGGCCAAGUCAAGGAUCACAAGCUCUACUUCGACACGACCACCAACAUGACCCGUUCUUGUACCAAAAAUGAUCCUCCCAUGUUAUGUAUCAAUUAAUAAUUAUGUAUGUCUCUUGUGUUGUGUUCUGGUAGGGGUGUUCCAGAUUGACAUGUACAUUUAGUUCUGAUUGAAGAGGCUGGCUUAAUUUUGUCAUGUAGUAAAAUAUUUGUGAUAAGGCUUUGUUGUCGUUGUUGUGUACUCAAAUUUUGUGAUAAGUAUUGACAUACUUUGCCCAA